CUUUCUCCACAGACCAGAGAACUUCAGAGAGAACUCCAGGAAUAUUAAAAAAGGGACUCCUCUUUCAUGAAUUGGCCUGGGCUUAUAAUCUGCCAUGAUGCCUAACUGAUUCCUUUGGAGUUUAUUUUCCCUUAUAUAAUGAUCUUCACCUUGGUCUGAGAGAUCACAACUGGGAGACAAGAAGGAUCGGGUAACUGUACAGAAAACAAAUUCAGUCCCAAGGGAUGAUUUUAUAAGGGAUAUGGGUUUUUAAAUGACUCAGUAAAGCUACAUUCUCCAAUUCUUUUUUUUUAAUUUAAAGUUUAUUUAUUUAUUUUGAGAGAGAGAGAACGAGCGAGCACACAUGUCAGCAGAAGAGGGGCAGAGAGGGAGAGAGAGAAUCCCAAGCAGGCUCCAUACUGUCAGACGAGAGCCCAAUGUGGACUCGAAUUCAUGAACUGUGAGAUCAUGACCUGAGCUGAAGCCAAGAUUCAGAUGCUUAACCAACUGAAGCACCCAGGCGCCCCUACAUUCUCCAAUUCUUAACAAGCCAAAUUCUUUGGCUGCAUAGAAUAAUCAGAAACAUCCUUUGUGCCAGAAAAAAAAAAAAAUUAGGAAACAUCAAUUCCUAAACUACACC